rnacentral:tRNA from 3 species
GCCCACAUAGCUCAAUGGUCGAGCGUUAGCAUUCAAAGCCAAGGGUCGGUGGUUCGACCCCGUCCGGGACA